rnacentral:ncRNA from 1 species
UACAAGACGAGAAGACCCUGUGGAGCUUAAGUCGCAUAACUCAACAAAUACUAACACAUAACCUACUGAAACAACCUGUAUAAGCCCCUGAGUUAUAGUCUUUGGUUGGGGUAACCUUGGAGCAUAAAAUAACCUCCGAAUGAAUAUAACCCAGAUUAACAAAUCUAAGUGUAACAAUACCAGUCAUUGACCCAUCUCUUGAUCAACGGAACAAGUUACCCCAGGGAUAACAGCACAAUCCUAUUUGAGAGCCCAUAUCGAAAAUUAGGGUUUACGACCUCGAUGUUGGAUCAGGACACCCAAAUGGUGCAACCACUAUUAAAGGUUCGUUUGUUCAACAAUUAAAGUCCUACAUGAUCUGAGUUCAGACCAGAGAAAUCCAGGUCAGUUUCUAUCGGUA